GAUGAACGCUGGCGGCGUGCCUAACACAUGCAAGUCGAACGAUGAAACCGCCUCCGGGCGGACAUGAAGUGGCGAACGGGUGAGUAACACGUGACCGACCUGCCCCCCGCCCAGGGACAGCCCCCCGAAAGGGGGAUUAAUACCUGGUACUCCGGAAGCGGCGCAUGCCGCCCCCGGGAAAGCUCUGGCGGCGGGGGAUGGGGUCGCGGCCCAUCAGGUAGACGGCGGGGCAGAGGCCCACCGUGCCGACGACGGGUAGCCGGGUUGAGAGACCGACCGGCCACAUUGGGACUGAGAUACGGCCCAGACUCCUACGGGAGGCAGCAGUGGGGAAUUUUGCGCAAUGGGGGCAACCCUGACGCAGCAACGCCGCGUGCGGGACGAAGGCGUCCGCGUCGUAAACCGCUUUCAGCGGGGAACACUUUUCGAGGGUACCCGCAGAAGAAGCCCCGGCUAAAUACGUGCCAGCCGCCGCUGUAA
rnacentral:rRNA from 1 species